ensembl:lncRNA
AAAAAAUUUGCCCAAAAUAAAUAAUUUGCAACAGAUCCUCUAAAACAUUGCUGCUGUGCAGCCACAAAGCUUUUUUUUUUGAGAAAUCAGCCCACAGAAAGGAAAAACAUGACAGGAGCAAAAACACAUACAGAAACUGCGUGUUUAGAGAGUUAAAUCAGAACUCUAUACAUGUAUUAUAGUUUUAGCCUGACUGAUAGCUGCACUGAAUCCAUAGGUAAAUUACACACAAAACCAAACACGAAUCCAGUUUUCGUACUGCAAAAGAACCUAUGAACCAGAAUUCAGUAUUCUUAUAUUCACAUAGGCUGUGGAUGUUUAAACAGAGCUGCUUAUACCUAGAUGACUUGGAGCAAAGUGUAAAUGCAUCUGCCAGGUGAAUGUACAGGAAGAAAUGAAACGUCUAUCUUAUGCAAUCUGCAGCAGUAAAAACAGGUUUUGAACUAUGGCAUUUUCUCGUACAUUGUGCAAAAAAGGGCCGGUCAGCCCAUAAUCUUGACCACAUUAUUAGCUAUAAACAUAAAUAAAGCAGCGAUGGAGAAAAAGCCAAAAAAAAAACCCCAAAACAAAACAAAAAAAAACCCAAAACAGUCUACCUCCUGAUGGACAAGUGCUUGAACCAGUGUUGAGAAACAGCACCACCUUCUGUAGGACUGAGGCACCAACAUGGAGCAGAGCCAUUCAUACUCCCCUCAGCCCUGUAUGCAGAUUCAUAACUCAAUCAUUUAUACAUUUAACUGUACAAUACUUAAUUUAAUAUUGCUAUAUUUAACUUAAAGCUGCAAUAAUUCAACUGUGCAAUACUCUGAUGUGUAUUUAUACUGCAUUAAUCCGAUACAUAGCUCAUUUUGCAUUAAUUUAUAGAACGUCUCACAUCUGUAUUAUGAUAAACAUAUUCUGUAUGUCUGUGCAGAUAUUUUAUCUAUAUAUGUGAACAUUUGAAUAUAUAUCUUUACAUAAAUGCAAAGCUUCCUACUUCAUUUGACUUUCAGGUAUAAUGUAGCAGUGGGUACUGACUAAAAACAAGUUUCAACAUAACAGAGGAGAAAAAUUUUCUUUCACAGCACAGGAGGGACUUUAAAGCAACAUAACGCUACUUUAGAUGACAGUGCUCCAUUUUUCUACCUUUUAUUCUUUCGUUAUUUUACUUCUCCCUUUCCUGCUCUUUUUAAACUUUCCAUCUUUCUUUUUUCUUACCGUCUUUCUAAACUUUUUUUCCCCCCAGUCUUUCUUAUCUUUGUCCUUCACAUUUUUCUUACAUUCUGGUCUUGCCUUCUUAUCUUUCUGUUUAUUCUUCUUUCUCUCUUUUUUCUUCUUCCCUAUACUUAUGUUCUUUCCUUUGUAUCUUUCUGGUGUCUCCUUUUUUACAUGUCUAUUCUUUUCUUCCUAAUUUUCUUUUUUCCUCCUCUUUCUGUUUUUCUUCUUCCUUACAUUUCAGUUGUUUCCAAUUGCCCCCUUAAUUCCUUUUCUCUUCUUUCCUUCUGAUCUUCUCUUUUUUCUUGCAUUCUUUCUCCUUUUCUGUUUUUUGCCUCUUUCAUUCUUUCCUGUCUUCUCUUUUUCAUUUCAUUUCUAUAGUCCUCUUUCUCUCCCUUUUUAUUCUCUUUCCUUUUUUCUCAUCUUUUCUUUUUUCCUUUUCGUUUCCUCUCCUUUUCCUAAUCUUUCCAUUUUUCCUUCUUUCCAUUUUUGUUCUUCACUUCUUUCUUUUUUCUUUUUUCUCAAUCCUUCCUCCUUUUUCAGUCUCUCCUAAACUCUACCUCCCACCCCUCCUCUCUCCACACCCCAUCCAACCAGCAAUGUUUCUCUUUCUCUUUCUCUUCCUCCCUUCAUCUCCACCUCAUCACCUGUCUCCCCCUCCCUCUGUCCUCCUCUCUCCCUCCAUCAUUCUCUGUAAUUACCUCCUUCAUGUAAAACCUGAGAGGAUUCGAAGCAACGGGAGACUCUUCUCGCCCCCGUUUGCUGCUCUUUUAUCUUCCUCCCGUUCUUCUUUGUUUUUCACCUCCUUUUCUCUCUGUCUCCUCCUCUUCAUUUCCCUGUUCCUCCCCAAACAAACUCUGCCCGAGUUACAACUUUAUACACAUGUAACCUUGUUUACGCCUCACUUGUGUCUGCGGUUCUUUCUGAUCUCGUUUCCGGCAUCCUGUCCUUUUUUGUGCCAUCCCUUCUCUCAGCCUUUCCCACGGCAUGCGCUUUUCUGACAAUGAAGCAAAGCAGAGUGAUUAUGUUAUGUUCAGGUCCUGUUGGAAAUAGCAGACUCAGUGCUUCAUCUCCUUUGCAUAAGAGGGAAUUUAACGCUGCAGGUUUUAUCUUUGCGAUAAUCCUCAAAGGAAAGCUUAAGUUUCUGUCAGUAUUCAAACUUCUGCUGGUAAUACACACUUACAUGAGAUGUUAGAGCUCAUUAUUACCAGAUAUAUCCUGCUGUGAAGUCUGGUGCUGGGUAAAGGUUUAAAGCAAGGUUCAUACAGGAGGAUCUCAGGUCCAAACUUCAUUUAAUUGGGUUAGGUAGGGUCUUGUUUUAUUGCCUGUGCAGUGACAUCAUCUUCCAUUCAUAAUAACUGUUCUUAGGCUGUUUAACAUUGAGGGACUUGCAGGUCAUGUUUGGGUGGCCUACAAUUUUGUGUGUGUUCCAACUGCA